GGUAUUUUGACCGUGCAAAGGUAGCAUAAUCAUUAGUUUUUUAAUUGAAAGCUGGAAUGAAAGGUUGGAUGAGAAAAUAGCUGUCUCUAUUUAAAUUAUUUAGAAUUUUAUUUUUAAGUUAAAAAGCUUAAAUAAGGUUAAAAGACGAGAAGACCCUAUAGAGUUUUAUUUAUUUUUAUAAUAAAAUUUUUAGUAUUAAUAAAUUUUACUGUAAAAAUAAAUUUAAUUGGGGUGAUUGAAAAAUUUAAUAAACUUUUUUUAUAUUAAAUCAUUAAUUUAUGAGUAAAUGAUCCUUUUUUAGAGAUUAAAAGAUUAAAUUACCUUAGGGAUAACAGCGUAAUUUUCCUAAAGAGUUCAAAUCGAAAGGAAAGAUUGCGACCUCGAUGUUGGAUUAAAAUAAAAUUUUGGUGUAGAAGCUAAAAUAUUUAGGUCUGUUCGACCUUUAAAAUUUU
rnacentral:rRNA from 1 species